CAGGCAUACAACAUGCAGUAAUAAUGUGACAAUAGUAUUACCUGCUUUUAUGGAUGGUCCCUCCAGACGAGAAAAUACACUUCACACAAUAAAUAUAUUUAUUUGAUGUGAGGUUAAAGAAACAAACAUACAUUUUAAUCACAUACACACAACCGUUAGGUAAUGACUCACUAUGAUUCUGCAAGGGCCCUUGCUGGAAGCAACAAUCACUAUUAAAGAAUAGGCAUAUUUGGUUACCAGAUGUGAUUGGGUGUCUGACGCUGCACAGCUUUUGGUGCGGCCAAUCACGUAUCCCAAUACAGGGGGGCGCGUCUUUCUGGCGCCUCCCGCCUCCAUCACUACCAUCAGAUGGAAUGCGCGCGCAAACCCAGCCAGCUUAAAUAGCUGACUGGAAAGGGACAGAUCAUGUCCCCCUCGUGCGUUCCAGCGUGCGUCAGCUUGCUGGAGCGCAUUACCCGCGCGCGCAAGUCUGUUGGGAUGCGUGCACCGGAAGUGAUGCCAGGGGUCAACUUUGGCCCUUUCACUUCCGGUGGAGAUGUUACCAUUUAGGUCGACGCGGACGGCAUAAACGUCAGACGCCGACCUGGAUGGAUGGACGGAGGACAGGACAACACACACAGGAUGCCAACACAUGCUUUUGCUGUACAUAUACUUACCUCUUUCUGGUUCAUCUAAGGUAAUUCUCCCCCUUAUCUUCGCUUAUUACUUGAUUAAUGGAUGGGUGCUUUAUGUGGACUAGCUAGCCAUAUGCACCCAUAUUAUUUACACCUAUAUCCAUAUACUUAUUAUUAUUAUUUUUUCAUAGAACCGAGGUGGACCUAUAGAGGAUCCCAUUUAAACCUUACUGUUGAGAUUAAGUUGAACCUUAUCACCAUCGAGGUAACAUAUUUAUUCAGUGACAUCUUUGCCCUCCAGUGUGUGUGUUUAAAUUAUCAAACACAUAUUUUGACUCUAUGGUUGCACCAUUUUUUGGCUGCAAGCAAUUAGUUGCUUAUAAUGAUAACACCUAAUGUGGCCUUUCUAUAUAAUAUAAUAAUUGUGUGACUUUUGAUAUCUUUUGUAUAUUUAUACAACAAUUACCCUACCUACAUUGGAAAUACUUCCACCAUAGUGAUUACACUAUUAUGUGUUCUCCUUUUCUUUUUAGGAGUGAUAUAGAUAUAGUACAUAGACACCCACAUCUCUAAUUUCUUUAUUGUCUACUGCAAGUCCUAAACAUCUCAUUGUCUGCACCUGCUGUAGCCAAUUGGAUCUGGCAUCCAUUGGUUAGAAGUGUACCAGUCUGCCUCCUUAUUACACUGGUGUAUCCUUUGUCAACAUUUCAGGCAGGUCGACCUGCCUUGGCCCCGAGCUUUUUAACGGAAGUGACCACCAUAUGUAAAUAAAGAAACAGGAACAAUUUUGCAAGCCCUGACGAAGCACAUCAGUGCGAAACUAGUUGGCAAAUCUGCAUCCAUUUUCCUAAUUUUCCUUCUUUGUUAAUGAAUUAUGAAAUUGUGGUCUUAAUCAUGUAAACUCUUUUAUAUGCAUUAAUUUUAUGAAAUUUUUUAUAUAUGAAAUUAAAACUUUUUUGAUACUCCCAAAAA